rnacentral:rRNA from 1 species
GACGAACGCUGGCGGCGUGCCUAAUACAUGCAAGUAGAACGCUGAAGGAGGAGCUUGCUUCUCUGGAUGAGUUGCGAACGGGUGAGUAACGCGUAGGUAACCUGCCUGGUAGCGGGGGAUAACUAUUGGAAACGAUAGCUAAUACCGCAUAAUAGUAGAUGUUGCAUGACAUUUGCUUAAAAGGUGCAACUGCAUCACUACCAGAUGGACCUGCGUUGUAUUAGCUAGUUGGUGGGGUAACGGCUCACCAAGGCGACGAUACAUAGCCGACCUGAGAGGGUGAUCGGCCACACUGGGACUGAGACACGGCCCAGACUCCUACGGGAGGCAGCAGUAGGGAAUCUUCGGCAAUGGACGGAAGUCUGACCGAGCAACGCCGCGUGAGUGAAGAAGGUUUUCGGAUCGUAAAGCUCUGUUGUAAGAGAAGAACGAGUGUGAGAGUGGAAAGUUCACACUGUGACGGUAUCUUACCAGAAAGGACGGCUAA